rnacentral:rRNA from 1 species
AUUGAACGCUGGCGGCAGGCCUAACACAUGCAAGUCGAGCGGUAGAGAGGAGCUUGCUUCUCUUGAGAGCGGCGGACGGGUGAGUAAUGCCUAGGAAUCUGCCUAGUGGUGGGGGAUAACGUUCGGAAACGGACGCUAAUACCGCAUACGUCCUACGAGAGAAAGCGGGGGCCCUUCGGGCCUCGCGCCAUUAGAUGAGCCUAGGUCGGAUUAGCUAGUUGGUGAGGUAACGGCUCACCAAGGCGACGAUCCGUAACUGCUCUGAGAGGAUGAUCAGUCACACUGGAACUGAGACACGGUCCAGACUCCUACGGGAGGCAGCAGUGGGGAAUAUUGGACAAUGGGCGAAAGCCUGAUCCAGCCAUGCCGCGUGUGUGAAGAAGGUCUUCGGAUUGUAAAGCACUUUAAGUUGGGAGGAAGGGUAGUAGCUUAAUACGUUGCUACUUUGACGUUACCGACAGAAUAAGCACCGGCUAACUUCGUGCCAGCCGCCGCAGUAAGAC